AAAUGAUAGAAAAAAAAUAAUGGAUUGCUCACUUUUUUAAUAUCAUUGUGCAAGAACUUACAAGUGUUCAAAACAUGCACACCACACGUUCAAACCAUUUGUUAUGAAUCAUUCAUUUAACACUUUCUUAACAUGAAUAUGAGUGAUGCACAGUUAUUCAUCUACUCGACAUUCUAUAUCAUUCAAAUACAUUACAUGUACAUUAUGAGCAUAAGAUAAUAUUAUGUUGAUCACUUGUCAGUUGUUAUCAUCAACCUUUAUACGAAAAAUACAGUGAGGCGGUAUCAUACAACGACUGUUCUAAAAUACAAGAUACACUGCCAAAUGGAUUUAUCUGACUAGGUAAAACGAUAGUAACUCGACGAUAUACAUAUAAGUCGUGUAUUCGUGUCAUUCCUUCCCACGUCGGCUCGGAAACAACAACAAAAAUAAUGAUAAUAAUAAUAACAGUAUGGGAAACGAUCAUCUGUAUAUCAUACAUAACCAUAUUAUUAUUAAAACAUCGGAUCACGUGAAAAUCCAAUCAGUGUCUUGCAUACGCGAUUUAACGUUAUAUCCGACGACAACGAGAGGAGCUCGACACAGAACAAUCCCCCACCCCCGCGCUCAUUCGCAUCACGACGACCACUGCCACCGUCCCAUCUCGCCCUCUGAACACCCGUCAGCGUCAUCGAUCGAUCAACCACCAGGCAGAGAGGACGUACGUAAGGGAUUUUAUCACAUUAUAUAUUAUUAUAUAUACGCGUUAACGUCCGACCGGAGUAUAUGAUAAUGACACAGGGUUAUACCUGCUGUACCAAGCUGCGACCAUCAUCACUGCAGUGAGUUUGCGCACGAAAUCUCGAAAAUAUUAACGGUCACUGGGCAGCGAGAUAAAAAUAUAAAAUACAACAGCGAGUAUGUAUAAAUUAUCGAUAUGUUAGUAAACUUGUUAGGUUCUUUGAAAACAUUUUUCAAAUCACAUCCGUAAGUAAACUCGAUUUUCAAAUAAAAUAAAAUGUAACCGAUACCGUACGAAUACGAUACAAAUUAAAAGUUAUUGGUAGGUCAGGUAGUUGUCUAACUCUAGGAAAAUAUACAGUAUCGCUAUUACAUGAUAAAAAAUAUUAUAAAUUAUAUUUUCAUUGCAAGAAAAAAACUUUUCCAAAAGUUGUAUCAAAAUGGUUAUUGCAGGUUUUGAUGUAGAUGGAAUUGUACAGUGAGCAAAAUAAAAUAAACAUUUUACCGCUGCCUCGAAUAAAAUAUCUGUGUCGAGAAAAUAAAUUUAGAACGAAGAAAGACGAGUGGCUGUCAUAAGCCAUAGCGAGCAUUUCGUCCGACUAUUUUCUUUUAUUUAAUCGUGUAGCGUUUAGUAUUAAUAUUCCUACAGCAGCACCUAUUGAUCAUUAUUAUUAAUAGCUUAUAUAUUAUAACAAUGUAUAUACGCACAUAUUAUAAUAAUACACUAUAUCGGUAUUGACUUAGUAUUAUAAUAGAUACAUAAUAAUUUGUACAAAACUUUUUAUUUCGCCGAACCAUUAAUUGCAAUUCGUAUUCAUGUCUACUGCUAUGGAGUCGCUACGGUGUACUUUAAGUCAAUACAGGCUGUACCUAACUCAAUUACAUAAUAUCUACGUAGGUACCUACUCAGACCUUGCAGAUCACAAUGUUAUUUGUUUUCGUAUACGGUAAAUGAGUAAUUUGACUCUACUUGAACGGGGAGGCGGAGGACCCGUCCAACCCUGCACGUGCUCACCAUCACAGCUCACGAAACUAAUACGCAAUAAUACUGUAUUAUGAUACAGUUUUCGAUGACGCCGCCGCACAAUUUUUCCGCACGAACGUCAAUGCUCACGCCACCCGUCGACUAUAAUAUCGUGACAACAGUAUUAUUAUACUAUUACAGCGCCAAGCGUGUACGUUACAGAAUAGUUAGCACAAGGUCCAGGGUUUAAUGCAUUUUUAGAACUUCUAACUACGUUUUGAAUAGAUAAUUUAGAAAAUUAUACAAAACAUUACCUAGGUAGUAACGAUAAUAUUAUGGUAUAUCGGUUCGAUAUAGGGAAAUUGUAUUGCAGCCACGCAGAUAAUGUUUAUCCAAAUAUUAACGCUGCGGAUACAAUUUUAGUAAUAACUGAAAGAUGAUAAAUACAAAUACCGAAAAUCAAUAUUUAAAAUAAAUUGCAACCAUGAUUUUGGAACCUUACAUGGAAUCCUUACAAAAAACAAUAUUUAAUUCUAUAUAAUAAAAUAUUUAUUGGUUUUAGUGAACCUAUUUAUAGCGAUUUUAAGGUAUGGAAUUUUAAAUUAUAAUUUAUCACUUUAAUCAGGACUGCCUAUACAAUAAUAACAAUAUUAUUGAUGAACAAUUUAUCAAUUAUUAAUACAUUUACUGUACGUACACAUCACUAACUAUCACCGUAGAGGGGUUAUUAAAUGUUAUAACAGUAUACCAUUCAACCAAGCCAAAUUACCACUAUUCGCCACAAAUGUUGUAUUAUAUUCUG